rnacentral:rRNA from 1 species
AUUGAACGCUGGCGGCAGGCCUAACACAUGCAAGUCGAGCGGAUGAAGGGAGCUUGCUCCUGGAUUCCGCGGCGGACGGGUGAGUAAUGCCUAGGAAUCUGCCUGGUAGUGGGGGAUAACGUCCGGAAACGGGCGCUAAUACUGCAUACGUCCUGAGGGUGCAAGUGGGGGAUCUUCGGACCUCACGCUAUCAGAUGAGCCUAGGUCGGACUAGCUAGCUGGUGGGGUAAAGGCCUACCUAGCCGACGAUCCGUAACUGGUCUGAGUGGAAGAUCAGUCACACUGGAACGGGGACACGUUCCAGGGUACUACGAGAGGCAGCAGUGUGGAAUAUUAGACAGUGGUCGAGAGCCUGGUCCAGCCAUGCCGCGUGUGUGAAGAAGGUCUUCGGAGUGUAAUGCAGUUUAAGUUGGGGGAAAGGGCAGUAAGUUGAUACCUUGCUGGUGUGACGUUAACAACAGAAGAAGCACCGGCUAACUACGUG